UUCAAUCCUUGACCCUUUAAAUUUGGGCCAAAGUCCUAAUCUUUUGGAUUGGGUCAAUCGAGCUAAGGGUUAGUUGAACCUUUUUUACCAUCCUUAGUGGCAAAUGUAACCCAAGCAUUAAAACUAGGGGUGGGCAAAAUACCCGACCCGAUCCGAUCCGAAAAAUUUCGAGUUCAGGUCGGUUCAGGUUGUUAUUGAAACUCGAACGGGUGAAAAAUUGCAAACCCGAUCCGAUCCGAAUACCCGAUCGGGUCGCACAAAAAAAAAAAAUUCACUAAACCUAUAAACACAUCACACAUCACACAUGCACACACCAGACACCACACACACGGCCACACACAAAGUUACAACUCAAAAACAAUUGGCUAAAAAAAAAUUGACAAAUAAAAAACAAAAUCAAAUUAUAACCCACGCACAGCCACACACAAACAUUGAAACAUAUCUUCGCUGCCUUCAUAGCCCUCAUCCCCACAGCCCUCACGACUUCACACACACACACAAAUAUCGCAAAAGCCAAAAGCAAAGCGGCAGCUAGCAGCCAACGCAGAGAAGAGAACGGAGGAAGCGCAGCCAGCGCAUGCAGGCACCUAACCCGUGACUGGAUCUACUGCUCCGCGACAUCCGUAGAUACCAGAUUUGCUGUUGCCGGAUAUCUACCGGAUCUGCUGCUGCUGGAUCCGCUACGCUGCUAUCGGAUCUGCUGUUGCUAUCGGAUCUGCUGCUGCAGCCUCCACCAUCACCAAGUUCCACCGCGAACCGGCAACCCGAAUUCUUUUCCUUUUUGAUGUUUUGAUGGGAUAAAAUAAUAUAUUAUAUAUUAUUUGUUAAUUGCUAAGUAUAUGUAUUGUUAAAUGUUAAUAAUAAAAUGAGGGAAAUUCUUGUAUGGAAAAUUUUGGGGUUUAAUUUAUUAAGUCCGUGGAAGCUUAAAUAAUAAGUAUGAAUUGAUUUCUUUUGUUUUGUUUUGUUUUUAAUGAAUAGAUUAAGCAGAUUAAGCAUUAAAAUUAAAUAUUUUGCAUUUGAUCCAAGCUUCCUCUUCACCCGAUCCGAAUUAACCCGAAUUUAACCCGAUUAUUUGACAUGAUCCGAUCCGAUCCGAAUAUGUUCGGAUCGGGUCGGAUCGGGUUACAACUUCGGGUUGAGUUCGGAUGAAUUCUUUUCUAACCCGAUCAACCCGAAAUCCGAUCGGGUUGAUUCGAACCCGAAAAUGCCCACCCCUAAUUAA
rnacentral:lncRNA from 1 species